rnacentral:rRNA from 1 species
GAUGAACGCUGGCGGCGUGCCUAAUACAUGCAAGUCGAGCGAACGGACGAGAAGCUUGCUUCUCUGAUGUUAGCGGCGGACGGGUGAGUAGCACGUGGAUAACCUACCUAUAAGACUGGGAUAACUUCGGGAAACCGGAGCUAAUACCGGAUAAUAUUUUGAACCGCAUGGUUCAAAAGUGAAAGACGGUCUUGCUGUCACUUAUAGAUGGAUCCGCGCUGCAUUAGCUAGUUGGUAAGGUAACGGCUUACCAAGGCAACGAUGCAUAGCCGACCUGAGAGGGUGAUCGGCCACACUGGAACUGAGACACGGUCCAGACUCCUACGGGAGGCAGCAGUAGGGAAUCUUCCGCAAUGGGCGAAAGCCUGACGGAGCAACGCCGCGUGAGUGAUGAAGGUCUUCGGAUCGUAAAACUCUGUUAUUAGGGAAGAUCAUAUGUGUAAGUAACUGUGCACAUCUUGACGGUACCUAAUCAGAAAGCCACGGCUAACUACGUG